AAUAGAUACCCAGGUAGUCCACGCCGUAAACGAUGAGUGCUAAGUGUUAGGGGGUUUCCGCCCCUUAGUGCUGCAGCUAACGCAUUAAGCACUCCGCCUGGGGAGUACGGUCGCAAGACUGAAACUCAAAGGAAUUGACGGGGGCCCGCACAAGCGGUGGAGCAUGUGGUUUAAUUCGAAGCAACGCGAAGAACCUUACCAGGUCUUGACAUCCCAUUGACCACUAUGGAGACAUAGUUUUCCCUUCGGGGACAACGGUGACAGGUGGUGCAUGGUUGUCGUCAGCUCGUGUCGUGAGAUGUUGGGUUAAGUCCCGCAACGAGCGCAACCCUUGUUCUUAGUUGCCAUCAUUUAGUUGGGCACUCUAAGGAGACUGCCGGUGACAAACCGGAGGAAGGUGGGGAUGACGUCAAAUCAUCAUGCCCCUUAUGACCUGGGCUACACACGUGCUAUAAUGGACGGUACAAACGGUUGCCAACCCGCGAGGGGAGCUAAUCCGAUAAAACCGUUCUCAGUUCGGAUUGUAGGCUGCAACUCGCCUACAUGAAC
rnacentral:rRNA from 1 species